GCAUCAGACUGCCCCUGUUGGAGGCGGUCACCCCUAUGGCCAUCUGCAAGACAGUCAGAUGAACAUCCUAUUUUUAACAGGAGUCAAUCAGCAACUUCCAGAUUAGGGUAAGCAUCCAGACAUCCCCUUAUUUUAGCUCUAAGGCCUGCGUGGACCUAUUUGCCAAGGUAACUUAACUGCAGACUUCACCUCAGAACUGUGUAAUCUAUAUAUUGCUUACAGACUGUGAUGUCCCAACCUCUUCUGAAGCCUGUCCCCUGAAUGUCCUUCCAAUGCACUUCUUGAUUCAGAGGAACAGACUGCUCUUUCAGACAAGUUUACGAUAUUAUGUAUGACUGCUGCACUUGAAUGGAUGUGUGCUUGGCACAAACUCCACUCAUACUUGUUUUUUCAAUAGGACAGUGGUGUAUCUACAAGACAGAUGGGUGGAUCCUGAGAAGGUGGAGUUUAAUACCAGUGUGUGUGAUGGAAUCUUGGCCCAUGCCAUGGUGAUUUUAGGCUGUUUUCAGCAGCAGGAGGCUGACUGACUGCGACUUAGAGGAUGCCACUGAGGCAGUUGUACUUUGGGAGCUCCCAUCAGCCACUAAGAAUAAG